UCGACCCCACGCCACGCAGAGGUGAAGAUACGCAGGACGUCCUCUAAAGCAACUUCCGUGGGUGCCAGGUUGUGGGCUGGGGGCGGUGCUGACCUUGAGAGAGCGGAGGAGGCGCAGGCGCAGCACAGGUACGUGGGCGGGCGGAUCGUGGUGGCUGCGCUUGCGAGGACCCUGAGGUAGAUUGGGUGGUUUCAACAGGAACGCAUCCACUGUCUGAGAGUUUAAACUUGAUUUUGUGAGGGGACGAACAGCGUGACAAUUAAAAGAAGAUCUGGGAAUCAAAAGCUUCCUGAGGCCUUCACCAGAAGCAGAUGCUGGUGCCGUGCUUCUACAGCCUGCAGAACUGAAGGACUUUACAGCUUCUCUUUCGCAUAUCCAAAUUGCCAGCAUCACCGCUCUUGCACUCCAAGCCAUUAUUAAGUAAAGUAAAGAACACAAACACUGUGAUACUGCUACACUUGAUCUGAUAACCAAGAAGUCUACUAAGUGACUAACAGAAGAGAAGACAUGGAGAAGAGGAGGGAGUAGUUGUGACCGUGGAGGCAGAGAAUGGAGUAAUGUGAUCAUAAAUCAAGGAAUGCUGACAGCCACUAAAGCUGGAGAAGGCCAAGGACAGAUAUUCAAUCCUCCCGUAGAAGUACAGCCCUGCUAAUGCAUUGAUUUUGGACUUCUGGCCUCAGAACUGUAAGAGAAUAAAUUUCUAUUGUUUUAAGCCUUCAGUUUGUGGUAGUUUGUUACAGAAACCCUGUAAAGUUAAUACACAGAGUUCAAAGAGAAUCCGGUAAUAUCUCUAAAAGACUCGUGUAUUAGUCAGGAUUCUCCAGAGAAGCAAAGCCAAUAGAAUGAUACAUGUUGUUAAAGCAAAUUAAAAUGGAGACCAUGCCUGAAGAAUCUCUGUGCAGAGAAACCCAGUUAGGCCUCAUAAGUUAACCUUACUUGAUUUGCAAACAUAAUCUAAAAGUUAACUGGAGCUAUUUCCGGUAAAUGAAUAUAACACAACUUAAGCUCAAUCAGUCAGAAGCAGCUUUAUAAUUAUGUAGCUAGGGACUUUCCAAGAGGAUGACCAAAG
rnacentral:lncRNA from 1 species